CUACGUGCCAGCAGCCGCGGUAAUACGGAGGAUGCGAGCGUUAUCCGGAUUUAUUGGGUUUAAAGGGUGCGUAGGCGGCCUGUUAAGUCAGCGGUGAAAUCUAGGAGCUUAACUCCUAAAUUGCCAUUGAUACUGGCGGGCUUGAGUGUAGAUGAGGUAGGCGGAAUGCGUGGUGUAGCGGUGGAAUGCAUAGAUAUCACGCAGAACUCCGAUUGCGAAGGCAGCUUACUAAGGUACAACUGACGCUGAAGCACGAAAGCGUGGGUAUCAAACAGGAUUAGAUACCCUGGUAGUCCACGCAGUAAACGAUGAUAACUGGGCGUAUGCGAUAUACAGUAUGCUCCUAAGCGAAAGCGUUAAGUUAUCCACCUGGGGAGUACGCCGGCAACGGUGAAACUCAAAGGAAUUGACGGGGGCCCGCACAAGCGGAGGAACAUGUGGUUUAAUUCGAUGCAACGCGAAGAACCUUACCUACUCUUGACAUCCAGAGAACAUUC
rnacentral:rRNA from 1 species